GGCAACCCUGGCGGCGAGUGGCGAACGGGUGAGUAAUAUAUCGGAACGUACCCAAGAGUGGGGGAUAACGUAGCGAAAGUUACGCUAAUACCGCAUACGAUCUGAGAAUGAAAGUGGGGGAUGCGCAAGCACCUCAUGCUCAUGGAGCAGCCGAUAUCUGAUUAGCUAGUUGGUAGGGUAAAAGCCUACCAAGGCGACGAUCAGUAGCUGGUUUGAGAGAACGACCAGCCACACUGGAACUGAGACACGGUCCAGACUCCUACGGGAGGCAGCAGUGGGGAAUUUUGGACAAUGGGCGCAAGCCUGAUCCAGCAAUGCCGCGUGAGUGAAGAAGGCCUUCGGGUUGUAGAGCUCUCUUGUCAGGGAAGAAAAGGUCGCCUCUAAUACAGGCGGCUCAUGACGGUACCUGAAGAAUAAGCACCGGCUAACUACGUGCCAGCAGCCGCGGUAAUACGUAGGGUGCAAGCGUUAAUCGGAAUUACUGGGCGUAAAGCGUGCGCAGGCGGUUAUAUAAGUCAGAUGUGAAAUCCCCGGGCUCAACCUGGGAACUGCAUUUGAGACUGUAUGGCUAGAGUGUGUCAGAGGGGGGUAGAAUUCCACGUGUAGCAGUGAAAUGCGUAGAUAUGUGGAGGAAUACCGAUGGCGAAGGCAGCCCCCUGGGAUAACACUGACGCUCAUGCACGAAAGCGUGGGGAGCA
rnacentral:rRNA from 1 species